rnacentral:rRNA from 1 species
GACGAACGCUGGCGGCGUGCCUAAUACAUGCAAGUAGAACGCACAGUUUAUACCGUAGCUUGCUACACCAUAGACUGUGAGUUGCGAACGGGUGAGUAACGCGUAGGUAACCUGCCUGGUAGCGGGGGAUAACUAUUGGAAACGAUAGCUAAUACCGCAUAAUAUUAAUUAUUGCAUGAUAAUUGAUUGAAAGAUGCAACUGCAUCACUACCAGAUGGACCUGCGUUGUAUUAGCUAGUAGGUGAGGUAACGGCUCACCUAGGCGACGAUACAUAGCCGACCUGAGAGGGGAAUCGGCCAAACUGGGACUGAGACACGGCCCAGACUCCUACGGGAGGCAGCAGUAGGGAAUCUUCGGCAAUGGACGAAAGUCUGACCGAGCAACGCCGCGUGAGUGAAGAAGGUUGUCGGAUCGUAAAGCUCUGUUGUAGGAGAAGAACGGGUGUGAGAGUGGAAAGUUCACACUGUGACGGUAUCUUACCAGAAAGGGACGGCUAACUACGUG